UACGGAGGGGGCUAGCGUUGUUCGGAAUUACUGGGCGUAAAGCGCGCGUAGGCGGCUUUGUAAGUUAGAGGUGAAAGCCCGGGGCUUAACUCCGGAACUGCCUUUAAGACUGCAUCGCUAGAAUCGUGGAGAGGUGAGUGGAAUUCCGAGUGUAGAGGUGAAAUUCGUAGAUAUUCGGAAGAACACCAGUGGCGAAGGCGACUCACUGGACACGUAUUGACGCUGAGGUGCGAAAGCGUGGGGAGCAAACAGG
rnacentral:rRNA from 1 species